GGAAAGAUGUUCGAGUGGCUUAAGAAGAUACCUUGGAAAGGUAUUAUGAUAUAAAAAUAUCAUCAGGGGUUCAAAUCCCCUUCUUUCCUCCA
rnacentral:tRNA from 1 species